AGGGUCUUUUUUUUUAAAAUAAAAUAAUAAUAAUAAGGAAAAUGUCUAUUUUACACAUUUUUUAUUUUUAUUUAUUUUGAAAUACUUUUGUUAUUAAGUGUUUGUGGGCUAUGAGUAAAUUUAAUUGGCCUGUGUAGAUUUAAGUUUAUAGAUUAGAAUAUAGAUAUACAAUAUUUAAAAUAAGUUUUACAGUUAACAUUAGAGUGCUUAACUAGAAAAAAUUUGUAAACCCAAUAGCCCAUGCUGUCAAGGGUCUUUUUUUUUAAAAUAAAAUAAUAAUAAUAAGGAAAAUGUCUAUUUUACACAUUUUUUAUUUUUAUUUAUUUUGAAAUACUUUUGUUAUUAAGUGUUUGUGGGCUAUGAUUAAAUUUGAUUGGCCUGUAAAGAUUUAAGAUUUAUAGAUUAUAGAUUUAACACAUGUAUCUAAUACAUAGUUCUUGAAAGCCAAUCUUCACUGAAAAAGUGUUUAUCCAUUAAAGUUUUCUUAUAAAUUAUAAACUUAAAUAACG